GACGAACGCUGGCGGCGUGCCUAACACAUGCAAGUCGAACGAGAUCCAUGGGAGCUUGCUCCCGGAAGAUCUAGUGGCGAACGGGUGAGUAACACGUGAGAAACCUGCCCUGGAGUGGGGAAUAACUCGGGGAAACUCGAGCUAAUACCGCAUACCCUCGGAUGGUCGCAUGGCCGACCGAGGAAAGAUUUAUCGCUCUAGGAGGGUCUCGCGGCCUAUCAGCUAGUUGGUGGGGUAACGGCCUACCAAGGCAACGACGGUAGCUGGUUUGAGAGAACGAUCAGCCACACUGGGACUGAGACACGGCCCAGACUCCUACGGGAGGCAGCAGUGGGGAAUCUUGCGCAAUGGGCGAAAGCCUGACGCAGCAACGCCGCGUGCGGGAUGACGGCCUUCGUGGUUGUAAACCGCUUUCAGCAGGGACGAAAAUGACGGUACCUGCAGAAGAAGACCCCGGCUAACUACGUGCCAGCA
rnacentral:rRNA from 1 species